AUUGAACGCUGGCGGCAGGCUUAACACAUGCAAGUCGAGCGGUAACAGAGAGAAGCUUGCUUCUCUGCUGACGAGCGGCGGACGGGAGAGUAAUGCCUAGGACUCUGCCUAGUAGUGGGGGCUAACUUGCCGACAGGCAAGCUAAUACCGCAUACGUCGUACGGGGGAAAGGAGGGGAGCUUCGGGCCUCUCGAUAGUCGAUGCGCCUGGAGCGGAUUAGUUAGUUGGUGAGGUAAUGGCUCACCAAGACCGCGAUCCGUAACUGGUCUGAGAGGAUGAUCAGUCACACUGGAGCUGAGACACGGUCCAGACUCCUACGGGAGGCAGCAGUGGGGAAUAUUGGACAAUGGGGGGAACCCUGAUCCAGCCAUGCCGCGUGUGUGAAGAAGGUCUUAGGAUUGUAAAGCACUUUAAGUUGGGAGGAAGAGCAGUUAACUAAUAUUUGACUGUUUUGACGUUACCGACAGAAUAAGCACCGGCUAACUUCGUGCCAGCCGCCGCCGUAA
rnacentral:rRNA from 1 species